rnacentral:sRNA from 1 species
AGCAGCCGCGGUAAUUCCAGCUCCAAUAGCGUAUAUUAAAGUUGUUGCAGUUAAAAAGCUCGUAGUUGAAUUUCGGGAUCAAUUAAUCGGUCGUGCCUCUGGUACGCACUGGUUUUAUUGGUUUCUCCCUUCUGACGAACCAGGAUGUCAUUAAUUUGGUGUCUUGGAGAAUCAGGACUGUUACUUUGAAAAAAUUAGAGUGUUUAAAGCAGGCUAACGCUUGAAUACAUUAGCAUGGAAUAAUGAAAUAGGACGUUUGAUCCUAUUUUGUUGGUUUCUAGGAUCGACGUAAUGAUUAAUAGGGAUAGUUGGGGGCAUUAGUAUUCAAUUGUCAGAGGUGAAAUUCUUGGAUUUAUUGAAGACUAACUACUGCGAAAGCAUUUGCCAAGGAUGUUUUCAUUAAUCAAGAACGAAAGUUAGGGGAUCGAAGACGAUCAGAUACCGUCGUAGUCUUAACCAUAAACUAUGCCGACUAGGGAUCGGAUGAUGUUAAUUUUUAAUGACUCAUUCGGCGCCUUAC